UGAAUACGAGAUGCUACGGCGUCGAAGCAGUCUAUGUCAUACUUCCAAGAAAAGCUUGCACUGUCAUAAACAAAUAAUGCCUGUACCAUAACCGACACAGGUGGGUAGGUAGAGUAUACUAAGGGGCGCGAGAUAACUCUCUCUAAGGAACUCGGCAAAAUGACUCCGUAACUUCGGGAGAAGGAGUGCCUUAUUUAUAAGGUUGCAAUAACAAGAUCCAAGCAACUGUUUACCAAAAACACAGGUCUCCGCUAAGUCGUAAGACGAUGUAUGGGGGCUGACGCCUGCCCAGUGCCAGAAGGUUAAAGAAGUUGGUUUGCAUCCGCGAAGCUGAUAACUGAAGCCCUGGUGAACGGCGGCCGUAACAAUAACGGUCCUAAGGUAGCGAAAUUCCUUGUCGGGUAAGUUCCGACCCGCACGAAAGGCGUAAUGAUUUGGAUACUGUCUCGGAGAGGGGCUCGGUGAAAUAGACUUGUCUGUGAAGAUGCGGACUACCUGCACCAGGACAGAAAGACCCUAUGAAGCUUUACUGUAACCUGAAAUUGAAAUUGGACUUUACUUGCGCAGUAUAGGUGGGAGGCGUUGAGAAUAUUCUUGCGGGAUUAUUGGAGCCAUCAGUGAGAUACCACUCUUGUAAUGUUAGAUUUCUAACUUUGUAUCAUUAUCUGGACAAAGAACAGUUUCAGGCGGGCAGUUUGACUGGGGCGGUCGCCUCCUAAACGGUAACGGAGGCGCACAAAGGUUUCCUCUGAACGGGUAGAAAUCGUAUCUAGAGUGUAAAGGCAUAAGGAAGCUUGACUGUGAGACCUACAAGUCGAGCAGGGACGAAAGUCGGUCUUAGUGAUCUGACGGUGCUGAGUGGAAAGGCCGUCACUCAACGGAUAAAAGUUACUCUAAGGAUAACAGGCUGAUCUCCCCCAAGAGUUCACAUCGACGGGGAGGUUUGGCACCUCGAUGUCGGCUCAUCGCAUCCUGGGGCGGUAGUACGUCCCAAGGGUUGGGCUGUUCGCCCAUGAAAGCGGUACGCGAGCUGGGUUCAGAGCGUCGUGAGACAGUUCGGUCCAUAUCCGGUGUAGGCGUUAGAAUAUUGAGAGGAGCCUUCUUUAGUACGAGAGGACCGAGAAGGACAUACCUCUGGUGUACCAGUUAUCGUGCCAACGGUAAACGCUGGGUAGCUAUGUGUGGAGUGGAUAACCGCUGAAAGCAUCUAAGUGGGAAGCCCACCUCAAGAUAAGUAUUCUC
rnacentral:rRNA from 1 species